rnacentral:rRNA from 1 species
UACGUAGGGGGCGAGCGUUGUCCGAAGUUACUGGGCGUAAAGAGUACGUAGGUGGCUUGUUAAGAUACAUCUGAAAGGUGACAGCUCAACUGUCAAUGGUGGUGUAAGACUGGCAGGCUUGGAGGCAAGCAGAAGAGUGUGGAACUCCGAGUGUAGCGGUGGAAUGCGUAGAGAUUCGGAAGAACACCCAUGGCGAAGGCAGCACUCUGGGCUUGAACCGCAAGGUGAACCUGACACUGAGGUACGAAAGCCAGGGGAGCGAACGGG